rnacentral:rRNA from 1 species
AUGCCUUCGCUCAUCGACGGCCCGGGCUCGCUGCGGUCGCUGCUCCGGCCGGUCAGCGACGAGCGCCGGACCAAGCACGGCGGCGCCGUCGUGGGGCUCUUCAAGAUGUUCAAGCUGGUGCCGAUGCUCACCACCAGCACCGGGUGCAAGAUGGCCGCGCUGCUCGGGCGGCACAGCGGCGGCGGCGGCAGGGCCCUCCUCGCCGACCACGCGCCGGCGGUGACGCUCUUCGGGCACCGCCGCGGCCGGCUGAGCCUGACCAUCCACGAGGACACGCGGGCGCCGCCGGCGUUCCUCAUCGAGCUGCCCAUGCUGGCGGCCGCGCUGCACCGGGAGAUGGCCACGGGGACCGUGAAGCUGGCGCUGGAGAGCGAUACCCGCAGCGCGCGCCGGCGGCUCCUGGAGGAGUACGUGUGGGCCGUCUACUGCAACGGACGCAAGGCAGGGUACGCCAUCCGCCGCAAGGACCCGUCCGACGACGAGCGGCACGUGCUGCGCCUGCUGCGCGGCGUCUCCAUGGGCGCCGGGGUGCUGCCGCCGCCGCCCGCCGACGGCUCCCACGGCCCCGACGGCGAGCUCACCUACAUGCGCGCCCGCGUCGAGCGCGUCGUCGGGUCCAAGGACUCCGAGGCCUUCUACAUGAUCAACCCGGACGACGACAACCGGGGUGGCGAUGGCGCCGCGGAGCUCAGUAUUUUCCUUGUGAGGAAGAAGUAA